ACAAUCACGGUUUGUCGUUUUUGGCCAUCUAAAUCACCAUUUUUCCAGGUUGAGAGAUUCUCACCAUUGAGUUUUUCCAUAGAAGUUCUGCAUGGAUUGUGGUUUGGCUACAGAGUGGUUCUGUUGGCUUCCCAUUUCCCCCCUCCAAGAACUAGGUUUUAUGCAGUCCCUCACCUUCCUGCCCCACAUACUCCCCCGGGGGCAGAAGUUCUGCUGCAAUGGCAGGGAGCACCCCCCGCGGGUCUUGAGGAGCCCUCUUGUGCCAUCCUGGUGGCAAGGCCCAUGAACUUCCUCAGCUGCCCCCUGAGCUUGGGAGGAGGCAAAACCCAGGCAACUGGAGAGCUGGAAGCACAUGUUCUUCAUAGCCAGAUCCGUCUCGGGAGUGAUUCAGCAGGCAGUGACACAUCCACUUCCUAGAACUCUGCUCUGAGAGGAAGGACAGGGAUGGCCACACACAUGGCCUCACAGAUGCAGCCCAAAGGUUUUGGAAUCAGUCAACAUUCCAUCACGUACUCACUUUGCAAACUUCUGUAAUAAUAAUGAUCAGCAUUGUUUGUUAAUCUCUAACAAUGUGACAUGUACCGAGUAAAGUUUUUCUGCUUGCAUUAUCUUGUUUGAUCCAUAGUCAUAUGGGAUAGAUUUUACAGGUGAGGAAGCAGGCUGAGAGCAAUUAAGCAACUUGUCCAAUACCAUAUAACUAGAAAGUGAUGAAGCCAGGAAAAACCAAGGGUCUGGUCUACUUUCCUAGUCUCUUUGCCAUACUGCAAAUGAAUUACAUUUUCUAAGUGUCUGGUAUCUUGUUACCUUGUCUUUCACAUCAGGAUAUUAGUGCCUGUCUUGCAGCAUUAUUUCAUUCUCUCUCUGUCUUUCUCUCUCACUUAGCAUUUAUUGAGCUACUAUUUUAUUUAUGCCCUGACUUACAUCUGGAUAACAGUAGGACUCACUAGCCAAAACACACACACACACACACACCACCACCACCACCACCACCACCAACAACAACAACAACAAAGAAUGUAAUUUCAAUAAUUCAAUAAAGUAUGCAAAAUGUACCUGUUGAAUGGGAGG
rnacentral:lncRNA from 1 species